CAAGUUUUGAAACCGUAGAUUGUGCAGCUUACCAAGUGUCAUUUGAUGGUAGACGAGCAUUUGUUAUACAAUCGGAUGUCCGUGUGUGUCAUCUCUUAGACAAACAAAAUGGCAGAUUUUAAAGAUUUAUUAGCUAACAACGGAUAUGGCAAUUAGAUGAAAUGCUCCUUAGCACAAAAUAGUGUUCGCAUCAUUCUAAGAAGGUGGUGGAAUCAGAGAUGGAUGCUUUUCAGAAGGACAUACCGCAAAGUAUUCAGUAUUCAAAGAGGCUAGCAUCAAGCACAACCUGCAAUCAAUGUCAAACUCAUAAUCUUCUUCCAUGUCCCACUUAAAAACUGUGUCAUUUACACCACAAAAUAUGUUCAUUCCACAAUGGACCAAGCCUGCAACGUCGACCAUGCCCUACACAUGGUCUCUGUGAUUAUAAUUGAUACACAUCGUUUUCGGGGAUCGUACUGGAAAAGCACGGACUCUAAAAAUGGUGUACCUUUGCAUGGACGAUUGCAAAGUGUUUUAUGCCGACAGAUGGUUAUACUAACGCAACCUCAGCUGCUGAAACGGAUUUUAAUGCUGAAGACAGACACAUCAGUCUGGUCAUUUCGGUGGCUGACAUGAACAGUGCAUUGGAAGAGGCAAAACAGUCCAUGAAGACAUUUUUUGAAACUCUCAAAAAAGAAACCAUUGUUGAUUUGGACACACAAACAUUAAGUUACAGUCUUCAAACAAUUAAGACAAUACAAGCUACUAUAGACGAAGUCCGUUUCAUAAUACAGCUACAGUCCUCAAGCAACUUGGUAUUGCAUGAUGUAUUUCCAGCUGAAAAACAUUACGAUAAGGAACGUGUUUAUUAUAACGAUCUUAAAAGCAUUGAGAGUACAAAAGAAGGCUUUACUACCUUUGAAAUUAAAGUAGAAAAUUUAUAAUAUCAUACUCAGUGUAAGGGAACAACUACGAAUUACCCGCAGAGCAAUCAAUGUAUAUUAUUUUGACUAUUUUGCCUUAUAUAACGAAAUGAUUCGGUAUGUGUAUAUGUCUUGGCUUGAGCUCAACACCGUUGAGUAGGAUACGUGUAAAGUACUCGUUUAUGAUAUAAAGAAAAUGUAGACUCGCAUUAAUAGUGCACAUGGAACAUAAACUGUUGUUUCAGUAACACAUCUUUUCAAGCUACAUUAUUAAGAACUCGGUAUAUAUAAUAAGUUCGUUGAUUAUUCAACGGAAUUUGGAAGUUUAUAUUAUAAAGUCAAACGCGUGAGA